GACGAACGCUGGCGGCGUGCUUAACACAUGCAAGUCGAACGGAAAGGCCCUGCUUGCAGGGUACUCGAGUGGCGAACGGGUGAGUAACACGUGGGUGAUCUGCCCUGCACUUCGGGGUAAGCUUGGGAAACUGGGUCUAAUACCGGAUAGGAGCCAUCUUUAGCGUGGUGGUUGGAAAGAUUUUUCGGUGUAGGAUGAGCUCGCGGCCUAUCAGCUUGUUGGUGGGGUAAUGGCCUACCAAGGCGGCGACGGGUAGCCGGCCUGAGAGGGUGUACGGCCACAUUGGGACUGAGAUACGGUCCAGACUCCGACGGGUGGCAGCAGUGGGGAAUAUUGCACAAGGGGCGCAAGCCUGAUGCAGCGACGCCGCGUGGGGGAUGAAGGCCUUCGGGUUGUAAACUCCUUUCGCUAGGGACGAAGCUUUUUGUGACGGUACCUAGAUAAGAAGCACCGGCUAACUACGUG
rnacentral:rRNA from 1 species